AGAGUUUGAUCCUGGCUCAGAACGAACGCUGGCGGCAGGCUUAACACAUGCAAGUCGAACGCUCCGCAAGGAGAGUGGCAGACGGGUGAGUAACGCGUGGGAACAUACCCCUCGGUUCGGAAUAACUCAGGGAAACUUGAGCUAAUACCGAAUACGGUCGAGAGGCGAAAGAUUUAUCGCCGAGGGAUUGGCCCGCGUCCGAUUAGCUAGUUGGUGAGGUAAUGGCUCACCAAGGCGACGAUCGGUAGCUGGUCUGAGAGGAUGAUCAGCCACAUUGGGACUGAGACACGGCCCAAACUCCUACGGGAGGCAGCAGUGGGGAAUAUUGGACAAUGGGCGAAAGCCUGAUCCAGCCAUGCCGCGUGAGUGAUGACGGCCUUAGGGUUGUAAAGCUCUUUCAUCAGGGACGA
rnacentral:rRNA from 1 species